AAAAAGCCGGCCCCUGCAUGCGACUUCUUCAACGGCAACUUCCAGAGAGUCGACUCGACCACCGCCAGCUGGCGUGCUUUGGGAACAGGAACGUUCUUGACUGCCAACAGGAGGGACUAUCUGAUCAGUGACAAUCCGAGCGAGUACCUUAUUUUCCACAUAUGCUAUGACCCCUCACAAAACGUGGCCAACAAAUGCCCAGUUUCGGAGACCUUGCUGGUCGUCAGGGACCGACGUCCCAACGUGGACGUGAAUCCCGUCGACGGCAUUCCCGACGGUGACCUUGAACUGACGAACACCGACUGGGCCAGUAUUGACCGAAAGUCGAGGUCCUGUAUCGGUGAAAGUCUUGUCAACACUGACGCCCUGGGUUGGGAGUGGUUCUGGAAAGGACCGGAAUGCCGUGCGCCAUAAAAGAGCCCAACGAUAAUUGUUCCGAAUCGCAUCUCUGCCUGUUGACUACCCACUUUAAAUCGCUGACAACAACAUCUUUUGCGUAUACUGAC